rnacentral:rRNA from 1 species
AACGAACGCUGGCGGCAUGCCUAACACAUGCAAGUCGAACGAGACCUUCGGGUCUAGUGGCGCACGGGUGCGUAACGCGUGGGAACCUGCCCUUAGGUUCGGAAUAACUCCCCGAAAGGGGUGCUAAUACCGGAUAAUGUCUUCGGACCAAAGAUUUAUCGCCUUUGGAUGGGCCCGCGUUGGAUUAGCUAGUUGGUAGGGUAAAAGCCUACCAAGGCGACGAUCCAUAGCUGGUCUGAGAGGAUGAUCAGCCACACUGGGACUGAGACACGGCCCAGACUCCUCCGGAAGGCGGCAGGGGGGAAUAUGGGACAAUGGGCGAAAGCCUGACCCAGCAAGGCGGGGGGAGUGAGGAAGGCUUUGGGGUGGAAAGGCUCUUUACCCGGGAUGAUAAUGACAGUACCGGGAGAAUAAGCUCCGGCUAACUCCGUG